rnacentral:lncRNA from 1 species
UACUAACCCUCGAAAUUUGCGCCAUUCGAAUGAUCAAGUGAUUCGGCUGAUGAGGGAUCAGAUCAGCCGGGUUCGAAAUUUCUACAGUAAAUUCGGUUCGGUGGAAUGAGUCGAGUGUACGGACCGAACAAGAACCGAAAUCGGCCGAGGAGCCGAAUGAUUAGAGAACAAAGGAAUAGAUCGGCUUGAAGAGCCGAAAUACCUUUAUAUUGAGUGGAAGGAAGUACAGGGGUCGAAUGUGCCGGAUGGCAUGCAGACUCGAUUGAUCUACUUUACGGACUACUCCUAGAAAGAACAGUAAAUAUUGGAAAAGAAAAGUUACAAGUAGGCUACUCCUAGAAAAUGCAGAAAAUUGCGAGGAAUUAAGUGUAGUCUUUUGUUCACAAGCUAAAAGACCCUUUUUUAGGGCAUUGUUGAUCUAUUUAUAGAUCGCCUCUUGAUCAGUUAUUGCUCUUACACGAUCGGCCACUAUCUCCUAAUAUUCCGGACCACCUCCAGCCGAUCGGAACCGCAUGCAACCGCUUGCGGUUACUGUAACUUCCUUCAAUUGGCGCAACGGUUUACUUUAAAACUUUUUCGGUACUCCUGGUGCAUGGCCAAAUUAAUACC